rnacentral:ncRNA from 1 species
AUAAACUUAAUGAUUGAGACGAGUAAGUAUGGAAUCUAAAAUAGAGAGUACGUGGUUGGUGGAAACGUAUCUAGUGAACAUAGUGAAUGGACUCAUGAAAGGCAAAGCGAACACUCACGUAAGUAGCUUACUGACGGAAAGCUCCCGUUAUCGCAAGCAAAGGAUAUGAUAGUAUUCUUAUGAGCUACGAUUUAGUGUAGAAAAUUCAGGUGGUACCGCGAAACCUCGCCCUGUUG